rnacentral:piRNA from 1 species
AUGACUGGAUUUCUUGUGAGGAC